rnacentral:rRNA from 1 species
GACGAACGCUGGCGGCGUGCUUAACACAUGCAAGUCGAACGGAAAGGCCCUGCUUUUGUGGGGUGCUCGAGUGGCGAACGGGUGAGUAACACGUGAGUAACCUGCCCUUGACUUUGGGAUAACUUCAGGAAACUGGGGCUAAUACCGGAUAGGAGCUCCUGCUGCAUGGUGGGGGUUGGAAAGUUUCGGCGGUUGGGGAUGGACUCGCGGCUUAUCAGCUUGUUGGUGGGGUAGUGGCUUACCAAGGCUUUGACGGGUAGCCGGCCUGAGAGGGUGACCGGCAACAUUGGGACUGAGAUACGGCGCAGACUCCUACGGGAGGCAGCAGUGGGGAAUGUUGCAAAAUGGGCGGAAGCCUGAAGCAGCAACGCCGCGUGCGGGAUGACGGCCUUCGGGUUGUAAACCGCUUUCGCCUGUGACGAAGCGUGAGUGACGGUAAUGGGUAAAGAAGCACCGGCUAACUACGUG